rnacentral:rRNA from 1 species
GACAGAGGGUGCAAACGUUGUUCGGAAUUACUGGGCGUAAAGCGCGUGUAGGCGGCGUGGCUAGUCGGGUGUGAAAGCCCUGGGCUCAACCCAGGAAGUGCAUUCGAUACUUCCACGCUAGAGUCCUGGAGAGGAUGGUGGAACUCUCGGUGUAGAGGUGAAAUUCGUAGAUAUCGAGAAGAACACCGGUGGCGAAGGCGGCCAUCUGGACGGUGACUGACGCUGAGACGCGAAAGCGUGGGGAGCAAACAGG